rnacentral:lncRNA from 1 species
CCCUCAGGGAGCCUCGGGUGGGGGCCAGGAUUGACCUCGACCCCGUUGCCGGUCCUGCCCGGGCCUUGCCGACCCACCGUCGAGGGACAGGGUGGCAGGGGAAGGGAGCCCCUCCCCCAAAUACGAGAAGACCCCCCCCAGUCAGGGUAGGAGAACCUUCCCAACACCACCAUCCCCCCAAAGUGACGCCCUGGGGCUUCCCGCCUCUCCCAGUUUUUCCCCAGGGAAAGUGGGAAGCGGCCCGGAGCGGGGGGCCGCCUUCUCCGGGAAGACCCACCUGUGCAGCCUGAGAAGCAUAUUUAUUGAACGCCAGCUGGGUGUGAUGCGUUGUACUCAGCCCCUGAGAAGGUACAGCAGAAGCACAAGACAUGUUCCCUGCUCACAAAGAGUUUAUAUUUUUAGCGAACUACCGAAAUCGACUCUCAGAAGAGACUUUGGGUCAUAAUUGAACUUUCAUUUCUCCAUACUUUUUCAGCAGUUAGUGUGACAGUGUUUUGUCUGGGUCCUGAUCAAGAAAACCAAAAUUUUAUGAGGAAUAAUUUGUCAAACAAUCAUGAAGGGAUUGGUACAUGUAGUCUAUGGAUCUAGCUAGCUAUAUUUUUACUGGCCUAGGAAGAUUCCACUUGGGAGAAUUCCUGUGGCAUUUAAGUACUCACAUCUUCCUGUGCUGGGUGUAAAUAAUUUUGUGUAUAAGGGUGUGUGUGUAUAUAUAUAUGUGUUCAUGUAUACAUGUAUGUAUAUAUGUAUAUGCAUGAGAAGCAGCAUGGCCAAAUGGCAAGAGCUCUGGUUUGGGAGUCAGAGGUCGUGGUUCUAAUCCCGACUCUGCCACUUGUCUGCUGUGUGACCUUGGGCAAGUCACUUAACUUCCCUGUGCCUCAGUUGCCUCAUCUGUCAAAUGGGCAUUAAGACUGAACCCCAAAUGGGACAACCUGAUUAUCUUGUAUCUCCCCCAGCGCUUAGAACAGUGCUUGGCAUGUAGUAAGUGCUUAAUAAAUGCCGUAAUUAUUAUUAUUAUUAUAAUUGUAUGCACAUGUGCAGAGUUGGCUGUAUCCACAGUUUUAAUCCCCAUUUUACAAAGGAGGUAACUGAAGAAGUGAAGUGACUUGCCCAAGGUCACACAGCAGGCAAGUGGCGGAGCUGGGAUUAGAACCCAGGGCUUUCUGACUCCCAGGCUCAUGGUCCAUCCCCUAGACCACACGGCUUUACAUAAAUAAUAAAUAAAUGCCUAGACCUUGGUUUGCGUAGCAGCCGACCAGGUUUGGCUGCCCUGAGAAGUUUAUCAAGAUGUCAGGCUAUUCUGAAAUGAACUACGAUUGAUGGUGUCAGAAUCAAAGGACCAUGCUUGAUCCUUUUCCCACCAGAAUGUUGAAAAGCAAGGCUCUGAAUUGGGCCCAGCCCCUUGAGACUUAUUCUCCGCAGCUAGGAGUGAUUUGAAGCGGCCUGGCCUAGGGGAUGGAGCACGGGCCUGGGAGUCAGAAGAUCAUGGGUUCUAAUGCCGCCUCCGUCACUUGUCUGCCAUGUGAUCUUGAGCAAGUUAUUUCACUUCUCUGUGUCUCAGUUACCUCAGCUGUAAAAUGAGGAUUGAGACUGCGAGCCAUCUAACCUGAUUAGCUUAUAUACACCCCAGCAUUCAGUACAGUGCCUGGCACAUAGUAAAUGCUUAACAGAUACCAUCAUAAUGUCAUUGAGACCUGGAAGCUGGUGUUAGAUGAUAGUCUGACAUAUCACCAUCAGUGAAUGUUCUUUACUGAAUACCUACUGAGGGCCAAAAAAUUGUACUAAGCAUUUGGGAGAGUACCAUUCACUGCCCUCUGGAGUUUACAAUCUAAUGGCGUGG